rnacentral:rRNA from 1 species
GACGAACGCUGGCGGCGUGCUUAACACAUGCGAGUCGAACGGAAAGGCCCUGCUUUUGUGGGGUGCUCGAGUGGCGAACGGGUGAGUAACACGUGAGUAACCUGCCCUUGACUUUGGGAUAACUUCAGGAAACUGGGGCUAAUACCGGAUAGGAGCUCCUGCUGCAUGGUGGGGGUUGGAAAGUUUCGGCGGUUGGGGAUGGACUCGCGGCUUAUCAGCUUGUUGGUGGGGUAGUGGCUUACCAAGGCUUUGACGGGUAGCCGGCCUGAGAGGGUGACCGGCCACAUUGGGACUGAGAUACGGCCCAGACUCCUACGGGAGGCAGCAGUGGGGAAUAUUGCACAAUGGGCGGAAGCCUGAUGCAGCAACGCCGCGUGCGGGAUGACGGCCUUCGGGUUGUAAACCGCUUUCGCCUGUGACGAAGCGUGAGUGGCGGUAAUGGGUAAAGAAGCACCGGCUAACUACGUG